GUGAACAAAAUUCAGGUUCCUACAAUUUUAAAUUAAUCUAGUUUCUGCAUGUGAGAUGUAUUGUUUUCAGGUUUUGUACAUGACCUGUAUUAUUGGUCUUGUUAUUUUUAUGUUGGAAAAGUCUGAGAUUUAGAUUGUUGAUCUGCUUCCUACAGAUCUCUUUGUCACGAAAUGUACUGGUGGUCUUUAAUCUGUUUUGCACAAUGCACAGAUGUUGGUGUCCAUAGUGCUUACUACAUGAACAUGAUAUUUGGAGUCUUACUUUAAUGGAGUGCUAAUCUGAUCAUGCUUGGAAAAGGGAUAUCAUGAUAGGUUUUGUUAGCCUGGGGCUUGUCUGAAACUGUUGUAGUCCUGUAAAUACAAAAGUAAAAAGUGUUGAAUGGGAACAGUAGUAGGUGCCAUUGUCAUCUGGAUUUAUUAGUCUGUAGUAGGUGUCAUUGUCAUCUGGAUUUAUUAGUCUGUAGUAGGUGUCAUUGUCCUGGUAAAAGAUGGUCUGAACUCUGAAGCUAGUAGAAACUACUGGUUCAACAUUUCUUUUCUUGAUUCAGAUAAUUCAGUUCGUUCAUUUCUUAACAUUUUGCCGCUAGUACAAACUACUGAACGUACGCCAUCGCUGCCACGCCCGUGCCGCCCCGCCUCUUCCGACUCCGGCGGCAGGUCGGCGGCAACCGACGGAGGUCUGACCACGACAGUAACAACGAUGGAAACUGCACAAUCUCAGAAUGCUUGUGGUCAGCUUGACUAGUUUCAAACAAUGGCGGAACGCUUGGCUUCGAUAUUUGGUACAGAGAAAGACAGUGUCAACUGUCCAUUUUUUACUUCAAGAUUGGAGCUUGUCAUCAUGGCGAUCGCCGCUCCCGCAUCCAUAACAGGCCAACCAUGAACAUGUAUCAGCGCUCUGAUAUGAUUACCCCUGGUCACAUGAUCCUUCGAAAUUAAGCAUCUCUUCGCCUUUAUAUACACUUGUUUACAUUAAUAUCUUUCCUCUGUACUUCACACACACACACACACACACACAAACACACACACACACACACACACAUGUGACCUUGAAGGAAUAUUUGGAACGAAGUUUUCUAAGUUUUGUUGCACAGAGGAACAUAUGCCAUUUGUUUAGAAGUACAAGGAAGGAAUCAGGAGUAUGCUUGGAAGUGACCUCAAAGGAACGCUUUGAAAUGAAGUUUGCAAAGUUUGUUGCUCAGAGGAGAGGAGCACUGAUCUGCUAGGGUGCAACACAAUUCUUCUAAGGCAGGACCGAGGGAAGCACACUGUUAAUUCUAAAGAUGCUGAUGCUGAUGGAACUAUGGAAUGAUUGGGAGCUACAGCUACUGGUGCUCCUAGGCUUCACGCUACAGAUUUUCAUCUUCUUUUCUGGUGGCCUCCGGCGGUGCAGAACUAACUAAGGCUGAGGCUUCUGAUUUCGUUGGCUUACUUGCUAUCUGACAUGGUCGCAGUCUAUGCUCUUGGCCAGCUUUCACUGCUUAACAAUGAUGUGCCUGGAGCUGGAGAAAUGCACCGGCUCUCGUUUUUUUCGACGCCUUUCCUCAUUCAUCUUGGUGUGAUUCUACUUGUAUGAAAACAGGUCAAUUUCCUGAUCUAGAAGGCAAGCUGGAAUUGGACUAUCUGACACUUGUGAAGUGUGCUUUAUCUAGCGCAUCAGGUGUCAGAAAUCUAUUUGUUGGUUGCAAGCUUGCUAAAAUUGAAGGUAACAUACAGAGAACA